rnacentral:rRNA from 1 species
GACGAACGCUGGCGGCGUGCUUAACACAUGCAAGUCGAACGGAAAGGCCCAGCUUGCUGGGUGCUCGAGUGGCGAACGGGUGAGUAACGCGUGGGUGAUCUGCCCCUAACUUCGGGAUAAGCUUGGGAAACUGGGUCUAAUACCGGAUAGGACAAUCGUUUAGUGUCGGUUGUGGAAAGUUUUUUCGGUUAGGGAUGAGCCCGCGGCCUAUCAGCUUGUUGGUGGGGUAAUGGCCUACCAAGGCGUCGACGGGUAGCCGGCCUGAGAGGGUGGACGGCCACAUUGGGACUGAGAUACGGCCCAGACUCCUACGGGAGGAAGCAGUGGGGAAUAUUGCACAAUGGGCGCAAGCCUGAUGCAGUGACGCCGCGAGGGGGAUGGCGGCCUUCGGGUUGUAAACCUCUUUCGACAGGGACGAAGCUUUGGUGACGGUACCUGUAUAAGAAGCACCGGCUAACUACGUGCCAGCCGCCGCGGUAAUAC